GACCUAGGGGGUAAGCGUGUACCUUCUCCCCAUUUUGGAGGCAGAGUGGCCUUCCUGGUAAUAACUAGUUCAAGCAUAAUGCAAAGGCAGUUGAUGCAUUCUGAGUGUACCGCUAAUAAUAGUAGGGGGACCAGCAGCUCACAAGCAUCCCAUCACUUGACCACAACAGACAUGUCAUUGAGCUCAGCUGAGAUUAGCCUUGCCUAAAUCAGCAGAACUUUAUAGGAGACCCAAAGACUCCUAAGAAAUAAUGAAACUGCUUUAAAAAUAAACGAGCUAUUUUUAAUAGUUAUUAAGUAUUGGGGUGGUUCGUUAUGCAGCAAAAGAUAACUGAUUCAGGUAUAAAGCACAUGGUCACAAAGGACCUAAGGGGAUGGGGUACAUAUUGGGUUUUGCAGUAGCCUUGGCAUUUAGCUCUAGAGCUUAUUUGUAGCUCAGAGCUGUGAACAUGAUGGGCUCAGCAUGGGGAGAUGAUAAAGUACAGGCGAGAAAGCCCCUUGCAAAGUGGUCAGGCACCCGGGCCAGGACAGGUCUAACCAUCCUCAGGAUGUGGCACGACCUCCUAUUUGUAGGUUAGGUGCAAACAAAUGCUCUUCUUCGAUGCUUACACCAACCCCAGGACCCACAGAAGGCAUUCUGUCUCCAUCAAUCCAGGGCUGGCAUAGGAUUUUAAGAGACAGGGCAUUUUCAAGGUAAAAGAGCAUUUCUGAAUCACAUUCAUCUAAUAAAUAGCUACCCAAUGUCGACUAUGGGCUCUCCACUGUUCCAGGCCUGGAAAUGUAGCAGUGUGCCUCAUGGAAAUGUAGCAGUGUGCCUCAUGGAAAUGUAGCAGUGUGCCUCAUGGAAAUGUAGCAGUGUGCCUCAUGGAGCUGACCUUCCCAUGUAACCUAGCAAGCCCUUGAAAAGGAGAGAAAAAAGUAAUGGGGAAAGGUAGCCUCCCUGUGGUAGUUUUAAAAUGUCUGCAAAUUCUUCUCUCCAAGAGGUGGAACUGAAUUUACCUCCCCUUGAGUACGGGCUGUACUUAGUGACUCACUUCUAACAAAGUCGGAAGUGAUGGCGUGUGGCUUCCAAGGGUAGGUCUUAAAAGACACUGCAAGCUCUGACCUGGGCUCCCUCUUCGAUCACUAGCUCUGGGGAAGCCAGCUGCCAUGCUAAAAAAGACACUCAAGCAGCCCCACGGAGAGGUCCACAACGCAAGGAGCUGAGUCCUCCCACCAACAGCCAGUGAGGAGCCGAGGCCUCCCACCUACAACCAGUGAGGAGCUGAGGCCUCCUGCCACAGUCACGGGAGUGAGCCUUGGAAGCAGAUCCUCCAGUGUCCGUCAGGCCUUCAGAAACUGCAGCCCCUGCUGACAUCUUGACUGAAACUUCAAAAUCAUCCAGCUAAGCUGCUUCCAAAUUCCCAGCUGGGAGAUGAUAAAUGUUUCAAGCUGCUAAGUUUCAGGGUAAUUUGUUACACAGCAACAGAUAACAAAUGCAUUCCCCCUAUCCCCCUGCUUUUCCAACUUUGAUCCAUUCCUCCUUCCUUCAUACUCACCAUACACCACAUAAUGGGGGAACAAGGAUGUAACAAGACAGGAUUCUGGGGAACUGAGCUCAAAAGGGAAAGUUCUAAUGAACAUUUGCUAUACUGAAGUGGAAGAAGCAAAAGCUUGUGAGCAGCACUGAGCCCGCACUUGCUUUACCUGGAAGUCCAAGCCCCACAUCAGUUUGUGCUUCUUCUGGCUGCCCAGACCCAGGUUAGGGGAGCUAGGAAUUUGGAGGGAAGGGUUAAGGGAGGCUGGCUGGACAUGCAGACUCACUUGAGCAGGAUCUCAUACUGGCCGGCAUGCCAGGGCUGCACCUUCUUUAGAACCAGGGUGAACACGUCCUCAUUCUGAAGCACCUCGAAGUGGCCAGUGUCUUUGCAGAGGGCUUUGCCAUCUCUGAGCCAGUGCACGGUAGGAAAGGGGUCACCAGCUAUGGCGCAGGAGAUGAGGACACUCUGGCCCAGGGAGGCUGUCACUGAGCGAGGCUUACUGAUGAACCAGGGCUGGGUGCCAUCGUGAGGCUCUGGAAAUUGGCAAAGGGCAGAGCUAAACAGGGAUGUCCCUCAGCAGGCAGUGUCCACUCAAUUCUCCAUGGAGGUGAAGGAUGGGAAGAUAGCAUGUCACCCAAGUAACAGAUUGUCCAGAAAUCACUGUGAUUGGAUACACAAAUGCAGCACACCCUUCUCAUUGCACAUCCAUCUCGGAUACAUUCUCAGAGGAUAAUAUUAACAUGACUGUAUAUCCAAUGUAAGGGGAGGUAGCCCAGAAGGCACGGGGCACCGAGCCAGGUGCUAAUGAUCUGUAUCCAAUGCGUGUGAUUAAGAGUUGUCACUCACUUUAUGUGUGCUUAACUUGCCUCUCCUCUUAAAUAUGUUAUCUAAUGGCAAGGACCCUGUUAAGCCUAUAACUCACCUCAAAAUCUAUCGCUGCCAAAUUGUUAAGUGUAUUACAGAUUUCCCUCUUAGUACUCUAUGCACCUUGGCACCAGUAACCCAGAGAGGGCAGGGACUUCAGAAAGCUGGGAAAGGCAGCCCCACUCAGUCAGAGCUUGUGAUGUUGGACAGGGAGCUGGCCUCUGGGGCUGGGGUGGGACUGAGGGACGAGAGGGCCCUCAGUGGGAACAAAGUAGCCUCAUGUGGUUUCCUUGCCUCCAAAUCACUUUUGGAGGGGCUGCAGCAGCAUCUCCUUCCCACUCGCUCUGAGUGGGUCAGCCUCACCUUGUACCGUGAGCACGGCCUGGGUGCGGACCUCUCCAGCGCUGUUCCAGGCCUCGCAGGUGUACGUGCCCGUGUCCUCCGGGAACACUUCCUGGAUACAAAGGCUGUGCUGAGUUCCUCUCUGUUCAAAGUGGAAGUCCUCUGACUCUUGGAUCUCAUUCCCAUUGUGCAGCCAGAUGACUUCAGGGGGUGGAUUCCCUGAACCAGGAGGAGGGGAAGGGGGAUUGGUUAGGGAGGUCCUCCCCGGCCAUGCAGCAACUCUGCGCUGAAUGCAGUGAUAUUGGAUGAAACACUCCAACAACUCUCUAUGCUUUCACUUCCCCAUCAGUAAAAUAGGAAUUCAAACAGGAUCUACCUCAUGGGUUUGUUGGGAGGACCUUAAAAUUUGAAUAGUGCAACUGAGAACAUCUUCUGAGAUUUGGGAAGUUCUCACAUAAUUUUUUUUUUUUUUUUUUUUUUUGAGACAGAGUCUUUGCUCUGUCGCCCAGGCUGCAGUGCAGUGGUGCGAUCUCGGCUCACUGCAAGCUCCACCUCCCAGGUUCACGCCAUUCUCCUGCCUCAGCCUCCCGAGUAGCUGGGACUACAGGCACCGGCCACCACACCCAGCUAAUUUUUUGUAUUUUUUAGUAGAGACAGGGUUUCACCGUGUUAGCCAGGAUGGUCUCGAUCUCCUGACCUUGUGAUCUGCUGCCUCGGCCUCACAAAGUGCUGGGAUUACAGGCGUGAGCCACCGUGCCCGGCCCAUAAUCUGGUUUUGUACCAGUCUUCAAAACCUUCCAGCUACACUGGCCACACUAUAUUUUCAAAUUAAUCUUUCACUGCUCUAGCUCUAUGGCCAUCUUCUUCCUCUGGACCAUUUAAUCAUGAAUCCAGAAAAUCCUACCCAGAGAAGGCAGAAAAGAGAGGACAAGAGUCUCCAUUUCUUUGGGUCCAUCACCUGAUGGUCCCAUCUGAUUUUCUGGUGGAUCAAGGAUCUGAGCGGGUCCUCGGAGAGCAAUACCCAUUGCAACCAAGACCAUUUUCAUGUUAAUCCCCAAGAGAGAGCUGCAGAGACAGACCUGACACUUGGACAGUCAUAGUGACCUGGCUUCCAUCCAUGACUUUGAGAUCAGAGAGGCCCUGCAGGAAGAUGGGUGCAGUGGGCUUGCUGGGAGCCACAGGCAGAAGGUACUCACUCUUCCUGCUACUCUUCUUUUCUGUGUGGUAGAAAACAGAACGUGGGGUGAACAUUCAUGCAUUCAUUCAACAAACACAGACUAAAUGACCACUUGGUACAUGACUGUGUUGAUGCUCAGUUCCCACCAGAAACUGGCAGCUAACAGAUAAAGAGUGUUUGGAGUUUCUAGAGAUCAUUAGGAACAAGAUGCCUCCCAUUUCUCUGCUUGGCAAUGACGAUGUUCUUGCCUGAUAGCCAGGAAUGAACAAUGAGUUCUUAUAAGUUUGUGAGUUUUAAAAAAUAUUUUAUUUAUUUUUCAGAUAAAUGAUACACUCACAUGGCACAAAAUUCAAAAGGUACCAAAGAGUAUGGCAAGUCUCCCUCCCACCCCAUCCCCCAGCCAGGAGGCUGGAGGAAAACUUCCCCCAAAGCAGGUGCAGUUGAAGGGCAUGGAGCCUGAGUGUGAGAGCAGGUAACCCCCCACGGUCCCCUUGGAAGAUGGGGCUCUCAGGCCCCUGCUGCUCUCUGGUGCUGCUGACUCAGCACCGCAGCCUUCGAUGGAGGGCCGCCAGGGGCCUUGGCAGAAGCUCUGGGAGUGGGCUUGGGGGCACAGGAUUGGAAAUGCAUUGAUCUAUCUCGUUUCUCUCACUAGGCUGCAGCAGUCAGGAGAGCUGGCUGCCUCGGGAGAGUUGAGGAAUUUCCUGUCUUGCACAGACUGAGAAGGCUCAAGGACAAAAUGUUUUUGUCUUUCUAUAGCAUUCCCUGUUCCUGCCUCUCUGCAAUCUCAGCGAGUCCCCAGCCUUACAGAGCUUCAUGCAGAUGGGCUCAAAUUCCUAGAUGCUACGGGAACGUCACCAACUCCAGCGCACUCCCCUUUAAGCCUGUGGCAGUCUCCUCUUCAACCCCACCUUCUCUGGGUUCUUCCCACAGCCCCUGUUUCCUGGGGGUUUGGCAAAGCCAAGUCACCCUGUGGGUCUCAGCCAUUGGGGACUAAAAGCCUAUCUGCCUCUCCCUCCCCUGGGAGCUCAGAAGUAUGCAUGAAAGGGUGGCCUGGGAGCUGCCUCCCACCUGGCAGCUCACUGGUUCCACCUGCAGCUGUGGAGGGGAUCCUGGCCUCAGGCAAGUCUGCCUCCGUCUGAAGCCCCACUUCCUCAUCGGUCUCUACGGGGAGUCGUGGUAUCAUCACAGGACUUUGGGUAGUUUUAAAGAGAUAAUAGGUAAAAAUACUUUGUACAACCAUUCAUUAUCAAUGAGAACAUUUGUACGAGCCUAGCAUGAGAACUGACUCACAUCUAUCCACUUGGGCUCAAUUACUCAAUGGGUUUAUCAGCAGUCAAAGAACCAAUGGAGUCUGGGCUUCACCCAAGGAUUAUGGACUCAUUUUUAUAGGACCUGAGGCAAAUACUAUUAGGAAUACAAAUGCGUUGCUUAAAAAUAUCAUGGGAUAUAUCUCAAAGUAAAUUGAGGACAAGCUUUCAUUGCACCCCCUCCAGGAGAUGAGUGAGUGAACUUGGGGGAAACCGGCCGAUCGGCAGACAUUUAGUUCGGUGUCACUCAUUGCCCCCGGUCCUGUGUUUUGUUCCCCAAAGCCCUACAGCAAGAAAGAAGGGAAGAUGGAAAUGAUUGGGAGUGAAUGUUCAGAACGAGCCUGUUCUCAGACCGGCAAGGUGGGACCCAGUCCCAACUCACCAUUCCACUGUACUGGUGUAGAGACCAGGAGAGACUUAACUAACGGGAAGUGACUUGGCUAACAUCAUGGGGCCAGUGUGGGCAGACCCAGAGCUCAUGCCCAGGCCUUCUGAUGACAAGGCCGGGAUGUUACGUAGGCGUCCCUUCAAAGGGAACCAGUCUCCUCCAACGGUGCCCAUGGUGACCGCUCCAGGACAAACACACUGUCAGCUGACCCACAUCCUAGAUCCUUGACAACUGAGAAAAACUAAAGCAGAACAGAGACAAGCCAGGUGAAAAGAGCAACACAAUGUGUGUGUGUGUGUGUGUGUGUGUGUGUGUAUUGCAAUUCAUUCCAAAGCCAAACAAAUUAUUCUGGCUCAUCUCUGGCCUCUAGCCUCUAUCAGUUUCUGCUCACUCUUCUGUGGACUUAAGUAAAAUACGAAAGGACAGAUGGAAACUGGCAUUCUUAACUCGUGGCCCUGGCUGUGUGAUCUGAAGCAACCUUCCCAAAGCAAGCCUCGGUGUUCUCUCCUCCAAACUUAUGGCAACAUAAUACUGAGAAGUAUGAUGUCUGCAUCAUCAGUCUAAUGCAUGGUAAUAUUGCAGGGUUUUAGAUGAUUAGAAAGUAACAUAUAAAACAGCUAGAACAAUACAUGGCACACAAGCAGUAUAAAAAUCAAUGUUUUCUGACUUUCCCAACCCAACUAACUCCUUUGGUUGUGGAAAUUCAACCUGAUAAUAACUCCAAUGAGAAAAACCCCCCAAACCAGAACUUUCAUGUAACGAUGAUUCCUUAUAAAGCCCAGCGCUCCAGGAUUCCAAAAGAUGUUCAUAGCUAAUUCAGUGUUACCCUCAACAUCUCGGAAGUAUUGGGCAGAUUGUGUCUGUUUUACAGUGGAGGGAGCUGAGACUCAGAGAAAGAAGCUCGCCUGUCCUAAGGUCCUGGGGCUGCGAUGCCCCAUGAGGAGGGAGAUGCUGCUGGUGGGGUCCUGGUCUGGGUGCUUUCCCUUGACUGUCCUGGGAGCAGAGGCAGGUCUCAAUUCUGUGAGGAGCUUUCUGUCAUCAUCCAUAUUCAUGUCCAGAGCUACCCAUUACCCUGGGAGUCACUCCUCUCUGCUUGUCCUUGGCCUCCUUCUAGCAUCAUCCUGGUUUAAGGACCAGGGUCUGAGGCAAGAGGCCCCCAGUGACAAGGUUGUCUCAGAGAGCCCAAGACUUCUUCGUCUUGGGAGGACACCCACUGGCCAUGGCACACAAAUAGCAAGGGAUGCUUUGCUGAGACCCAGUGACAGACUUGCCCAGCUCAAAUGGGGCCAAACUAAAUAUACCCCGGGUUUCCCCACAGCUGUGCUUCCUGCUGCUCUGCUGAGACUGAGCCCAGAGAGGGCCUUCUUUCUGGAGUGCAGAAAGGGCUGAGUCUCCUUGCUUUCCUUGCCUAGGAUUAAGGAUCUAAAGUGCAUUUAUCUGUUGCUCUGUUACUUGGUAUUAGCCAAUUCACUCCUGGACUCAGUCAUUAAACUGCCACUGUCCCAUUUUGACAGAAUGGAAAAGGAUUGAUCGGGCUGUCGUCCAAUGGGAAAGACAAGCACAAUGACUAAGAAUAAGCCCAAGCAGAUUGCUGACAAGUAAAAACGAUGCCAUGUAGACGAAGCUGUUAAUAGGACUUAAGAAAGAGCAAGAAUGGAGAAAGGGAAGAACAGAGAGAAGAGAAAGAAAAAGAGGCAAUGUGAGGAAGAGAGAGGGGGAAAAGGGAAGCAAAGGAAGGGGGAGAGAAUGAGAGACAGACAGAUAUACGCACUCUCCCCUUUAUGAUUCUACUGACCCAUGGAGUUUUUCCGUCCUUGCCAUUUUGGCUGUUUUUGACUCACUAGAAGUUGUUUUUGAAGCCAGUUCCUAGUCAUGAAACUAAACAUGAAAUGAUCGCUCUGGUGAAGCAAAAGCAUCAAACAAAUGACCUAUCAGGAUCCAAGAGCAGCCAUGCAGAAAGCCCAUGGGCUGAAGCAGGUGGUGGCCUGGUGCUGCUGCUGAUCACCUGGACUACUGUGGGCAGCUGACAUCACCUCCUGAGCAUCACUUUCUUCAUCUGUAAAGUGAAUUCGGAAGUGUCAAGUGGAGUUGUUGUGAGAAUUAAAUAAAACAAGCCAGCUUUUCUAGCCAA
rnacentral:lncRNA from 1 species